CAGUAGCCGCGGGAAAACGGAGGGUGCAAGCGUUAAUCGGAAUUACUGGGCGUAAAGCGUGCGUAGGCGGUUCGUUAAGUCUGUUGUGAAAGCCCCGGGCUCAACCUGGGAAUGGCAAUGGAUACUGGCGAGCUAGAGUGUGUCAGAGGAUGGUGGAAUUCCCGGUGUAGCGGUGAAAUGCGUAGAGAUCGGGAGGAACAUCAGUGGCGAAGGCGGCCAUCUGGGACAACACUGACGCUGAGGCACGAAAGCGUGGGGAGCAAACAGGAUUAGAUACCCCCGUAGUCCCUGUCUCUUAUAC
rnacentral:rRNA from 1 species